rnacentral:rRNA from 1 species
AUUGCUUAGUAACGGCGAGUGAAGCGGCAAAAGCUCAAAUUUGAAAUCUGGCGUCUUCGACGUCCGAGUUGUAAUUUGAAGAAGGCGACUUUGUAGCUGGUCCUUGUCUAUGUUCCUUGGAACAGGACGUCAUAGAGGGUGAGAAUCCCGUGUGGCGAGGAUCCCAGUUAUUUGUAAAGUGCUUUCGACGAGUCGAGUUGUUUGGGGAAUGCAGCUCUAAGUGGGUGGGAAAUUCCAUCUAAAGCUAAAUAUUGGCGAGAGACCGAUAGCGAACAAGUACAGUGAUGGAAAGAUGAAAAGAACUUUGAAAAGAGAGUGAAAAAGUACGUGAAAUUGUUGAAAGGGAAGGGCAUUUGAUCAGACAUGGCGUUUGCUUCGGCUUUCGCUGGGCCAGCAUCAGUUUUAGCGGUUGGAUAAAUCCUCGGGAAUGUGGCUCUGCUUCGGUAGAGUGUUAUAGCCCGUGGGAAUCAGCCAGCUGGGAUGAGGAUUGCGACUUUUGUCAAGGAUGCUGGCGUAAUGGUUAAAUGCCGCCCGUCUUGAAACACGGACCAAA